rnacentral:rRNA from 1 species
GACGAACGCUGGCGGUGUGCCUAAUACAUGCAAGUCGAGCGGAAGUUGGAGAGCUUGCUCUUCAACUUUAGCGGCGGACGGGUGAGUAACACGUGGGCAACCUGCCCUGCAGAUCGGGAUAACUCCGGGAAACCGGUGCUAAUACCGAAUAGUUUUCGCCACCUCCUGGUGGCGUACGGAAAGACGGUUUCGGCUGUCACUGCAGGAUGGGCCCGCGGCGCAUUAGCUAGUUGGUGGGGGAACGGCCCACCAAGGCAACGAUGCGUAGCCGGCCUGAGAGGAGGAUCGGCCACACUGGGACUGGGACACGGCCCAGACUCCUACGGGAGGCAGGAGUAGGGAAUCUUCCGCAAUGGACGAAAGUCUGACGGAGCAACGCCGCGUGAGUGACGAAGGUUUUCGGAUCGUAAAACUCUGUUGUGAGGGAAGAACAAGUACCAACUAACUACUGGUACCUUGACGGUACCUCACCAGAAAGCCACGGCUAACUACGUGCCAGCCGCCGCCGUAACAC